GCAGCAGCGGCGUGAGGGGCACGUGUCUAUUUGACUCAUUGCUUUCUUGAAAUUUAUUUGUGUUCUGGAUGAAGGACUGCUUAAGAUGUUCCCAUGUGCUGUUCCCAACGGUCCAGCAGAUUUUUGGAGACUUAGAUGGUCGUCCCUUUACAUUUUUCGAGACUUCGCUGGUCCGACCUCGCUCGUGGUUGGAGAAGAGUACCCUUCCGCCUGUCCAACUCGUCAGUGAAGCUGCUGACGGGCGAAGACUGGACAGCGGCGGAGAUAAGAUGAAGAAAUUAAUCUGCCUCCUGCCAUUCCCACUCCGAGCACGACCGCGGAACACAGCACCGACAAGCGGCCUUCGGUCACCAUCUCGUGGCUGCUGAGUUCAUUGGUUUGUGGCAAUGCUCUCCCCUCUCGGCCUUCAAGUUUGUGAUCAAAGGAUGACGGAGCUGACCAUCCUGGCUGGCACUUGCUGAUCCUUCGGGGUAAUCUUGCUCUGAAAGAAUUGGGCUGCAUGCUUAUCUGGUCCAUGUCGCUUAACUGGGAUUUCCAAGAUUCCACAUAUGGCUUUUAUGACAACGAUCCUGCCUUCCAGCAAUAACACUUACCACCACCUACCAGCAUCACAGCCCACCAGCAACUUCAACCUCACCGACAAGGAUAGUGUGUGUGUGUGUUAAAUAAAUCAGUCAAGUGAAGGAAUGAGAUUUUGUGUGGUUAAAGGGAAUAAUUUUUAGUAUACCAGCCUCAGAUGGGUUUGGAGAGAGAGGAGAGGAGAGAGAAGUAGCUUUUUAAAUAAUUCCACAUUCAACGUGGAAUUUUUAAGCCUUUCUGUAAAGAGAGAGAGAGAGAGAGAGAGAGAGAGAGAGAGAGAGAGAGAGAGAGAGAGAGAGAGAGAGAGAGAGAGAGAGAGAGAGAGAGAGAGAGAGAGAGAGAGAGAGAGAGAGAG